GACGAACGCUGGCGGCGUGCUUAACACAUGCAAGUCGAACGGAAAGGCCCUGCUUUUGUGGGGUGCUCGAGUGGCGAACGGGUGAGUAACACGUGAGUAACCUGCCCUUGACUUUGGGAUAACUUCAGGAAACUGGGGCUAAUACCGGAUAGGAGCUCCUGCUGCAUGGUGGGGGUUGGAAAGUUUCGGCGGUUGGGGAUGGACUCGCGGCUUAUCAGCUUGUUGGUGGGGUAGUGGCUUACCAAGGCUUUGACGGGUAGCCGGCCUGAGAGGGUGACCGGCCACAUUGGGACUGGGAUACGGCCCAGACUCCUACGGGGGGCAGCAGUGGGGAAUAUUGCACAAGGGGCGGAAGCCUGAUGCAGCAACGCCGCGUGCGGGAUGACGGCCUUCGGGUUGUAAACCGCUUUCGCCUGUGACGAAGCGUGAGUGACGGUAAUGGGUAAAGAAGCACCGGCUAACUACGUG
rnacentral:rRNA from 1 species